UUUAUGUUUUGCUCUUUUUAUUAUGAAUUUUUUAAAUCCGUUGUGAUGUCUUUUAAAUUAAACUAAAGUUUACUAAAAGCCAACAUAAAAAUUACGUUUUUGAACAACACCAAAAAGAACAGCUGCAUCCCUACAGCAACUGCUGUAGUAUCACGAUAGGUUACCAAAAGCAGUGAAACAAGUCGGCUUUUCAUUAAAGAUAUUGGUUUUAAAAUUGAAUAUCAUUGGCAAAAUGCUUACAAAAUUAGGCUAUGCUUGGCUCCUUGGUGCUGUAAAUGGUGGCUUCAACUUUGUUUUUUUUAAGAAAAAUGUGU